GAUGAACGCUGGCGGCGUGCCUAAUACAUGCAAGUCGAGCGGUAAGGCCCUUCGGGGUACACGAGCGGCGGACGGCUGAGUAACACGUAGGAACGUACCCCAAACUGAGGGAUAAGCACCAGAAAUGGUGUCUAAUACCGCAUGUGGCCCACGGGCUAAAGCUCCGGCGGUUUGGGAACGGCCUGCGUCCGAUUAGAUAGUUGGUAGUGUAAUAGACUACCAAGGCGACGAUCGGUAGCUGGUCUGAGAGGAUGAUCAGCCAGACUGGGACUGAGACACGGCCCAGACUCCUACGGGAGGCAGCAGUAGGGAAUUUUCCACAAUGGGGGCAACCCUGAUGGAGCAACGCCGCGUGCAGGAUGAAGGCCUUCGGGUUGUAAACUGCUUUUAUCUGUGACGAUUAUGACGGUAGCAGAUGAAUAAGGACCUGCUAACUACGUGCCAGCAGCCGCCGUAA
rnacentral:rRNA from 1 species